UGGGGAAUAUCGCACAAUGGGGGAAACCCUGAUGCAGCGACGCCGCGUGAGCGAAGAAGGUUUUCGAAUCGUAAAGCUCUGUCCUAUGAGAAGAUAAUGACGGUAUCAUAGGAGGAAGCCCCGGCUAAAUACGUGCCAGCAGCCGCGGUAAUACGUAUGGGGCGAGCGUUGUCCGGAAUUAUUGGGCGUAAAGGGUACGUAGGCGGUCUAUUAAGUCAGGUGUGAAAGCGUGAGGCUUAACCUCAUUAAGCACUUGAAACUGAUAGACUUGAGUGAAGGAGAGGAAAGUGGAAUUCCUAGUGUAGCGGUGAAAUGCGUAGAUAUUAGGAGGAAUACCGGUGGCGAAGGCGACUUUCUGGACUUUUACUGACGCUCAGGUACGAAAGCGUGGGGAGCAAACAGG
rnacentral:rRNA from 1 species